UACAGAGGUCCCGAGCGUUGUUCGGAUUCACUGGGCGUAAAGGGGGCGCAGGGGGCUUGGCAAGUUUGAUGUGAAAGCUCAGGGCUUAACCCUGAAAUGGCAUUGAAUACUGUUGAGCUGGAGGUUUGGAGGGGGGACUGGAAUUCUUGGUGUAGCAGUGAAAUGCGUAGAUAUCAGGAGGAACACCGAUGGCGAAGGCAGGUCUCUGGGCCGAUACUGACGCUGAGGAGCGAAAGCGUGGGGAGCGAACAGG
rnacentral:rRNA from 1 species